UAGUAGUGUCCCUGUAGUGUUGCAUCAGGCCUGAGCUAUUAUCUUGUGGUUGUUGGUCUAUUGGUGAGCGGGUUUGCUCUGCUCUAUGGACCUACAUUGGUGCUGCUGAAAAGAAGUCAAUAAUUUGAGAUUAGAAUAAUCAGAAGUCGUUUGUCAGACAAAGAAUUCAGGUUGCCACCUUGUCUGUGGAAAGCUGAAGCAUUAGCUGUGUUGGAGAUGAAGUGGGUGCUCUGAAGAUGUAUACAGGGAAGAGGAGAGUUUGAAUGCUUAGCUGUGUCAUAUGUAUUUCUAUUAAAUAGUUGAGUUUCUGAUGUUCAGGCAGUAGCAGCUACUGAUCUGUGCAUGAAGCACCAGCAUUUUGGCUGCAUUUGCUUCAGCUGCUUGUUCUGCAGGUUUGAUUUUUGCAAAGACUGUUGGAUUUCCUGAUGAAUACAGUUGAAACAAGUGUCUAUUUUAUGUCUUGAAUUUGUUGCAGCUAAGAAAGCACUUCAAGAUUUGCAUUCCUGCCACUUCGCAAACACAGAACAAAGUGUAUUUAAAUCAUAAGUAUUUGUUAUCUAAGGUCUCACUCAGCUGAUUCUAAAUGUCUCUAAUGACUUUUAUUGGAUCCUCCCUUAAAUAGGGCUGUGUGCAGCCACAAGCUAGUAGAGUAUAAAUAUUCAUUACAACUUCCCUUUUAAACUCAAGAAAUGUGUUUACUGGUGUAGUUGUGGCUUCAUAGUGAUGUAUCUACUUAUCUGACUUUGCAGAACUGUAAGAUGAGAUUUUAUAUGCCUAGUAGCUUCAGAAGUCAGUAUUUGGGAAGAAAGCUCUCAAGCACUGCCUUUGUGCUAAGUAGGUGACACAGAGGAAAUUGAAAGAAAAAUAAAAAAUAUUACUGGUGGAUGAUGAAUUAAAAGCAUCAGAGACUGAAAAGA